rnacentral:lncRNA from 1 species
GAGCUACGUGAGAUCAUCAUUUAUCUUUGAAUGCUUACAUGCUUGCCAGCAUUAGUUAGCACUUCAUAAAGUUGUUGCAUCCUUAUGUACGAUUUGCUUGUAGUAGCCUUGCCGUAAAAUCUUGUAGGUUAAUGCCCUGCCCUCAAGUGGUUGCCACAGAUCUCUUUAUGGACUUUUUGGAUGCAUUUCUUGACUUGGAUGGUUGGA